AAAUAUUGCAACGUAUCCGCUAAGUGCCGUCCGUUAAAUCGUACAUCAAAAUUGUGUUCGAUGGAUCUAUACUUACGUCCUGGACUCAAAGUGGAGGCGCCAAUCUAUAUCGAAAUUAUUGGAUAUAAGAAAUUUCGAACCGCAUACCGUCAGCAUAUGCUAAAAUUGAAGUCAGAACUGUGUGCUCAACUUAAAAACACGACGAACCACCCAUUCUUCAGUCGAAUUUGAAAAUACGAAAUAAAGGGAAAUGUGUUCGAUCCGUGUCCCAUUACUGGCCAUCGAUUCAUAAAGCCGUACGUUCCGGAAUACGAACGAUUCCCGUUGGUACCAGUAGGAGAAUGGAAAGUGGACACCAUUGUAUCGAAAAUUGUAAACAACUUGGAAGAAUUUAUAGUGUCUUUCACGGACUAUUUUGAAGUGAAACCUACGAGUGCUGUAGAGUUCUGAAACAAAAAU